rfam:Kribbella flavida DSM 17836, complete genome.
CUCUGUCGGAAGACAGGGCGGAAGGAG